CCCUUAGAUGUUCUGGGCCGCACGCGCGCUACACUGACGAAGUCAGCGAGCAUGUCCUACGCCGACAGGUGCGGGGAAUCUUGUCAAACUUCGUCGUGAUGGGGAUUGAUUAUUGAAAUUCUUGAUCAUCAACGAGGAAUUCCUAGUAAGCGCAAGUCAGCAGCUUGCGUUGAUUACGUCCCUGCCCUUUGUACACACCGCCCGUCGCUCCUACCGAUUGAAUGCUCAGGUGAGCCAUUCGGACUUUCAUCAUGCUGGUUUCCAGUUUUGAUGAAGGAAAGUCUUGCGAACCUUAUCAUUUAGAGGAAGGAGAAGUCGUAACA
rnacentral:rRNA from 1 species